rnacentral:rRNA from 1 species
GACGAACGCUGGCGGCGUGCCUAACACAUGCAAGUCGUGCGAGAAAGUUCCUUCGGGAGCGAGUAAAGCGGCGCACGGGUGAGUAACACGUAGGUAACCUGCCCCCCAGUCUGGAACAACUAGAGGAAACUCUAGCUAAUGCCGGAUGAGACCACGAUCCCUUCGGGGGUUGCGGCCAAAGAUGGCCUCUACUUGUAAGCUAUCGCUGAGGGAUGGGCCUGCGGGCCAUUAGCUUGUUGGUGAGGUAACGGCUCACCAAGGCUGUGAUGGCUAGCUGGUCUGAGAGGAUGACCAGCCACACUGGGACUGAGACAGGCCCAGACUCCUACGGGAGGCAGCAGUGGGGAAUAUUGCGCAAUGGGCGAAAGCCUGACGCAGCGACGCCGCGUGGGUGAUGAAGGCCU